UACGUAGGGGGCUAGCGUUGUCCGGAAUCAUUGGGCGUAAAGCGCGUGUAGGCGGUCCGGUAAGUCCGCUGUGAAAGUCGGGGGCUCAACCCUGGGAUGCCGGUGGAUACUGUCGAGCUCGAGUCCGGAAGAGGCGAGUGGAAUUCCUGGUGUAGCGGUGAAAUGCGCAGAUAUCAGGAGGAACACCAAUGGCGAAGGCAGCUCGCUGGGACGGUACUGACGCUGAGACGCGAAAGCGUGGGGAGCAAACAGG
rnacentral:rRNA from 1 species